rnacentral:tRNA from 1 species
GGAGAGAUGGCUGAGUUGGUCUAAGGCACUCGACUCGAAAUCGAACGUGGGACAAAAUCUCACCGUGGGUUCGAAUCCCACUCUCUCCGCCA